UGUCUCUUUAAAUUAACAAAAGAAAAACAAAAUUCAAUCACAUGUACUCCCUCUUAAUAAUGCUUCUCGUUCAUGGCAAUGCAUGUGGGAAUAUAUAGGUUUCUUUACUUCUUAGUAAAAGGGGUCGGAGCCACUAGCACAACAACCUUGGCAAGGCGUAAUCAUGUGGCCUCAAUAUUGUCACAUCAUGUUCGGCGACCCCGAACGAACCUUUACAAAAGGUUGGCCUUAGCUUCUCUCCUGUUACAUUUGCUUCACAUGCAUCAUAAAAAGGUAUGGAAGAAGUAGUGAAGAAAAAGAAGAAGAAGAAAAGAAAGAAGAAGAAAAAGAAGAGGAGAUGGAGAUAGUCAUUGUUGGUGGGGACAUUGGUGGCCUUGGCCACUGCCCUUGCUCUUCAUAGGGAAGUUAUUACAUGUUUGGUGCUCGAAAGAUCUGACUCCUUACGUGCAACUGGAGCAGCCAUGACCAGCUUCAGGACUAGUGGGUGGCAUGCCCUCGAUUAUCUCCGGAUCGCCUCGUCGCUUAGGCAGACUACAGUCUCUAUUAAAGGGGUCGAUAGUAGAGACUAAAAUAUGGCAUAUAUGUGACGGCAAUGGCAAGCAACGGCAAAGGCACAAAUAGAUAAAUAUAAUAGCUCAUGGAUGGUGCCUGCAGCAUAUAUCUGCCAGAAUCAGUAGUGGUUAACUAUGUGCUUUAUGAUCUAUUUGUUGAGCAAUUGAUCAUUCGAUCCUUGAUCAAUCAUCUCUGACUACUAUAUACGUAUGUAUAUGUAUAUGUAUAUGUAUACAUACCCCGAGGAGAAUGGAACAGAACACAAUCAUAUCGACCCAUUGAGAAGCUUCAUUUGGCUCUGGAGUUCUAUUGCACCAAAAUUGAGAGUUUGAUAUAAUUGAUUUGUCAAAUUAGGGGAAAAAAAUAGCAUGAGUGUGAGAGCAUUCUCUAGCAUGAUUUGGAAGAAGGGGCAAUUAAAUAUUUAUUAAUGAAGCUUCUUUAGAAUGACAAGAUCUUGGAUCAGUCUUUUGUGGCUGCUAAUUAAACAUUGCGACUUUCGUCCCAGAUCGUGGCGUCCGGACGAGUCAUGUCGCGGCUUGAUGCGAACAAAAUAUAAAUCCAGUAUCUUUGAAUUUCCAACACUCACCAUGGAAAUAUAUUAUCCUUUUCCUUAUUAUACCAUUUCCCAAGAAAGGGAUACUUUU